UACGUAGGGUGCAAGCGUUAAUCGGAAUUACUGGGCGUAAAGCGUGCGCAGGCGGUUAUGUAGGGCAGAUGUGAAAUGCCCGGGCUUAACCUGGGAACUGCAUUUGUGACUGCAUGGCUAGAGUUUGGCAGAGGGGGGUAGAAUUCCACGUGUAGCAGUGAAAUGCGUAGAUAUGUGGAGGAACGCCGAUGGCGAAGGCAGCCCCCUGGGUCAAGACUGACGCUCAUGCACGAAAGCGUGGGGAGCAAACAGG
rnacentral:rRNA from 1 species